UCAAGAAACUUCCACAAUGGGCGAAAGCCUGAUGGAGCGACGUCGCGUGAUGGACGAAGUGCUUCGGCACGUAAACAUCUUUUAUGUGGGAUGAAAUUAUUGACAGUACCACAUGAAUAAGGGGCUCCUAACUCUGUGCCAGCAGGAGCGGUAAUACAGAGGCCCCAAGCGUUAUCCGGAAUCACUGGGCGUAAAGGGUGUCGAGGCGGUUGUAUUAGUCGUUCGUAAAAUCUACGAGCUUAACUUGUAGGCGGCGAACGAAACGGUACGACUUGAGGUUUGGAGAGGUGCGUGGAACUCACGGUGUAGGGUGAAAUCCGUUGAUAUCGUGGGGAACACCAAAGGCGAAGGCAGCGCACUGGCCAAAAUCUGACGCUCACACACGAAAGCUAGGGUAGCGAAGAGGAUUAGAUACCCUGGUAGUCCCUGAGCGGGCUGGCAAGGCGCAU
rnacentral:rRNA from 1 species